AGGUGAGGGUGAACUGGCAGUAACAUCUGUCACCCCAUUGAUCACCAGGCUUGAUUUGGCUGAUCUGGCUGGCUAGGUGGGCGUCCACUUCCUCCCUCACCACUCCAUGUGAGGCCCUCUUGAAGCUGUGUGCUUGGUCAAAACUUCCAAAACUAGAGAAGUGCCGUUCUUCAGUCAAGGGUAUAUUAUAGCUACUCUUCCAUGGUAAGACCUCCAAACAAGCUCAAGGCCCAUUUGUAGGAGAAAGUAGGGUGGUCAAGCUUCUAAGACUCCAGACACAUUCAAAUGAGGCAUUGCAUGUGGCAGUCUGCCUUUCUUU
rnacentral:snRNA from 1 species